rnacentral:misc_RNA from 1 species
AAAAUACCAAAUCAUGGUCAUGAAGAAUCUAGGUUUCAUUAUUUUAAGCAUGCAGAUUGUCGUCUUCACUGAAUUUAUAUGAACAGUGAACAAGUUUGUCCAAGAGGAAAGUGAACCAAUUGAUAUCCCGAGUCUCAUUAAUUUAAAUUGUAAAUGAGCUGCUGAAGAUGAAAGUGAACAGUGCUUAUAACCAAAAUAAUGGAUUGAGGCUAUA